rfam:Triticum aestivum genome assembly, contig: Triticum_aestivum_CS42_TGACv1_scaffold_523505_6BS
AUUGUUGUGAUGAGCCGUGGCGAUAAGGAUACCAACGGAUCAAUUGGUUAUUCAAUGAAAUGCUUUUUACGCUUGGCAUUGAGCUCA